rnacentral:rRNA from 1 species
GCGGACGGGUGAGUAACGCGUGGGUAACCUGCCCUGUACACACGGAUAACAUACCGAAAGGUAUGCUAAUACGAGAUAAAAUACUUUUAUCGCAUGGUAGAAGUAUCAAAGCUUUUGCGGUACAGGAUGGACCCGCGUCUGAUUAGCUAGUUGGUAAGGUAACGGCUUACCAAGGCGACGAUCAGUAGCCGACCUGAGAGGGUGAUCGGCCACAUUGGAACUGAGACACGGUCCAAACUCCUACGGGAGGCAGCAGUGGGGAAUAUUGCACAAUGGGCGAAAGCCUGAUGCAGCAACGCCGCGUGAGCGAUGAAGGCCUUCGGGUCGUAAAGCUCUGUCCUCAAGGAAGAUAAUGACGGUACUUGAGGAGGAAGCCCCGGCUAACUACGUGCCAGCAGCCGCGGUAAUACGUAGGGGGCUAGCGUUAUCCGGAAUUACUGGGCGUAAAGGGUGCGUAGGUGGUUUCUUAAGUCAGAGGUGAAAGGCUACGGCUCAACCGUAGUAAGCCUUUGAAACUGGGGAACUUGAGUGCAGGAGAGGAGAGUGGAAUUCCUAGUGUAGCGGUGAAAUGCGUAGAUAUUAGGAGGAACACCAGUUGCGAAGGCGGCUCUCUGGACUGUAACUGACACUGAGGCACGAAAGCGUGGGGAGCAAACAGGAUUAGAUACCCUGGUAGU